rnacentral:sRNA from 1 species
CAGGCUGGGUUCCAGCGUAGGGGUCUUGAUGGGCACGCUGGGGUCGGGUGGAGUGCUGGAGGGAGAGGAGGUGGGACAGGUGGGUACCUGGGCUGGAGGCAGGGCCUGAGGUGGCCAGGUGCAGGGGGCUGCACCUCUCGGCUGAAGCCGGGAAUGAGGACCCCGCUGUCGGGUGGGAUUGGAGGGGACUCGCGGCUGAGGCUCUGGGCUUCGACAGGGACAUCCCCUUUCUCCUCCCCAGGGAGAUGGUGCUUGUCGUGCACGGCUUCCCGUCCUCUGUGGCCGCCCUUCGGGUAAGGAAGGAGACCGGGCAGCGGCGGCCGGGCGAGGGCUUGGGUUCUGCCCCUCGCUCCGAGCCACCCUGACGCCCCUGUACGCCGCCCGCAGUUUGAGUGGGCUUGGCAGCACCCGCACGCCUCGCGCCGCCUGGCGCACGUGGGGCCUCGCCUGCGAGGAGAGACCGCCUUCGCGUUCCACCUGCGCGUGCUGGCGCACAUGCUGCGCUCACCGCCCUGGGCGCGCCUCCCGCUCACGCUGCGCUGGGUGCGCCCAGACCUCCGCCAGGACCUCUGCCUCCCGCCGCCGCCGCACGUGCCCCUGGCCUUCGGGCCUCCACCGCCCCAGGCUCCGGCCCCAAGGCGCCACGCAGGUCCCUUUGAUGACGCGGAGCCUGAGCCAGACCAGGGGGAUCCAGGGGCCUGCUGCUCCCUGUGCGCCCAGACCAUCCAGAAUGAAGAGGGGCCCUUGUGUUGUCCCCACCCUGGCUGCCUGCUAAGGGCCCACGUGAUCUGCCUGGCAGAGGAGUUUCUUCAGGAAGAACCAGGGCAGCUUCUGCCCCUAGAGGGCCAAUGCCCUUGCUGUGAGAAGUCACUGCUUUGGGGAGACCUGAUCUGGCUGUGCCAGAUGGACACUGAGAAAGAAGUAGAAGACUCAGAAUUCGAAGAGAAACAUGGAGCUGAUCCAGGACACCUCCCGCCCACCACUGGAGUAUGUGAAGGGGGUCCCGCUCAUCAAGUACUUUGCAGAGGCACUGGGGCCCCUGCAGAGCUUCCAAGCCCAGCCUGAUGACCUGCUCAUCAACACCUACCCCAAGUCCGGCACCACCUGGGUGAGCCAGAUACUGGACAUGAUCUACCAGGGCGGCGACCUAGAGAAGUGUAACCGGGCUCCCAUCUACAUACGGGUGCCCUUCCUUGAGGUCAAUGAUCCAGGGGAUCCCUCAGGGCUGGAGACUCUGAAAGACACACCUCCCCCACGGCUCAUCAAGUCACACCUGCCCCUGGCCCUGCUCCCCCAGACUCUGUUGGAUCAGAAGGUCAAGGUGGUCUAUGUUGCCCGAAACCCAAAGGACGUGGCGGUUUCCUACUACCAUUUCCACCGUAUGGAAAAGACGCACCCUGAGCCUGGGACCUGGGACAGCUUCCUGGAGAAGUUCAUGGCCGGAGAAGUGUCCUACGGGUCCUGGUACCAGCACGUGCAGGAGUGGUGGGAGCUGAGCCGCACCCACCCUGUUCUCUACCUCUUCUAUGAAGACAUGAAGGAGAACCCCAAAAGGGAGAUUCAAAAGAUCCUGGAGUUUUUGGGGCACUCUCUGCCAGAGGAGACCGUGGACUUCAUGGUUCAGCACACGUCGUUCAAGGAGAUGAAGAAGAACCCUAUGACCAACUACACCACCGUCCCCCGGGAGUUCAUGGACCACAGCAUCUCCCCCUUCAUGAGGAAAGGCAUGGCUGGGGACUGGAAGACCACCUUCACCGUGGCGCAGAAUGAGCGCUUCGAUGCGGACUAUGCGGAGAAGAUGGCAGGCUGCAGCCUCAGCUUCCGCUCUGAGCUGUGAGAGGGGCUCCCGGGGUCACUCCAGAGGGAGUGUGCGAAUCAAGCCUGACCAAUGGGCUCAAGAAUAAAGUAUGAUUUUUGAGUCAGGCACAGUGGCUCAUGUCUGCAAUACCAGCGAUUUGGGAGGUUGAGCUGGUAGGAUCACAAUAGGCCACGAAUUUGAGACCAGCCUGGUAAAGUAGUGAGACCUCAUCUCUACAAAGAUGUAAAAAAAUUAGCCACAUGUGCUGGCACUUACCUGUAGUCCCAGCUACUUGGGAAGCAGAGGCUGGAGGAUCAUUUCAGCCCAGGAGGUUGUGGAUACAGUGAGUUAUGACAUGCCCAUUCACUACAGCCUGGAUGACAAGCAAGACCCUCCCUCCAAAGAAAAUAAAGCUCAAUUAAAAUAAAAUA